GACUGCGCGGAGGCGACUACAGACAUGUCAGGGGUACGGGGCCUGUCGCGGUUGCCAAGCGCUCGGCGCUUGGCGCUGGCCAAGGCGUGGCCAACAGUGUUGCAAACAGGAACCCGAGGUGUUCACUUCACUGUUGAAGGAACGAGAGGGCAUCUGCUGAAGUUUCAGAUUCCAUUUCUGCUCAGUAGUGGAUCAUGAAUUUGAUGCAGUGAUGGUAGGCGCUAGAAGGGCAGGCUUGCGAGCUGCAUUUGGCCUUUCCGAGGCAGAGUUUGAUACAGCAUGUGUUACCAAGCUGUUUCCUACCAGGUCACACACUGUUGCAGCGCAGGUAGAAAAUUAUGGCAUGCCGUUUAGCAGAACUGAAGAUGGGAAGAUUUAUCAGCGUGCAUUUGGCAGACAGAGCCUCAAGUUUGGAAAGGGCGGGCAGGCCCAUCGGUGCUGCUGUGUGGCUGAUCGGACCGGCCACUCAAUAUUGCACACCUCAUAUGGGAGGGCACAUAUGGUGCUGGUUGUCUCAUUACGGAAGGAUGUUGUGGAGAGGGAGGCAUUCUCAUUAACAGUCAAGGUGAAAGGUUUAUGGAGCGAUACGCCCCCAUCGCGAAGGACCUGGCGUCUAGAGAUGUGGUGUCUCGGUGGAUGACUCUGGAGAUCCGCGAAGGAAGGUGCGUGUGGUUUACCACCAGCAUUGUCUGAGCGGGCACACGGGCCGGGGUUGCUUCUGUGAGUUUCAGCUCCACUCGCCCUCACCUUCGUGUGCAGGCACAUGUGCACAGCCACCUCUCUCAGCUGCCGGCAGGCGUCUGUUAGUCUGUGAUAUUUUCCUAAAGACCUACAUUUUGAAAAUUUUAGCCAGUUUCUUUCUCAAAUCUGUGGAACAGAGUUUCUCUUAGUGUGUGUGAGUAUGUGAUGGAGUAUGGGAGAGAGAGACACACACCCAACCUGAAGUCGGUGUGUGAGCCUUAGGUGUUGUGUCUGAUACCCACAGAUGUUUUUCGACAGCUUUCAAAGUGUGUGGGUUAUUUGCCUUUCAGAAAAACAAUUUGCAGCUCUUUCAUUGCCUGACCCUAUUCUUUAAUGUAACGACACUUGCUAAAUAUCUGCUGGUAUGGCCUUUAGAGGUUUUACGUUUUUAUAUUAAAAAAAAAAAA
rnacentral:lncRNA from 1 species